AUUGAACGCUGGCGGCAGGCUUAACACAUGCAAGUCGAGCGGAGCGAGGGUGCUUGCACCUUAGCUUAGUGGCGGACGGGUGAGUAAUGCUUAGGAAUCUGCCUAUUAGUGGGGGACAACAUUCCGAAAGGGAUGCUAAUACCGCAUACGCCCUACGGGGGAAAGCAGGGGAUCUUCGGACCUUGCGCUAAUAGAUGAGCCUAAGUCGGAUUAGCUAGUUGGUGGGGUAAAGGCCUACCAAGGCGACGAUCUGUAGCGGGUCUGAGAGGAUGAGCCGCCACACUGGGACGGGGACACGGCCACGACUCCUACGGGAGGCAGCAGUGGGGAAUAUUGGACAAUGGGCGGAAGCCUGAUCCAGCCAUGCCGCGUGUGUGAAGAAGGCCUUUUGGUUGUAAAGCACUUUAAGCGAGGAGGAGGCUACUAGUAUUAAUACUACUGGAUAGUGGACGUUACUCGCAGAAUAAGCACCGGCUAACUCUGUGCCAGCAGCCGCAGUAACAC
rnacentral:rRNA from 1 species